rnacentral:miRNA from 1 species
UCGGUGGGAUUUUCGUUCGGUC